rnacentral:rRNA from 1 species
CCUACGGGAGGCAGCAGUAGGGAAUAUUGGGCAAUGGAGGCAACUCUGACCCAGCCAUGCCGCGUGCAGGAUGAAGGCGUUAUGCGUUGUAAACUGCUUUUAUAUAGGAAGAAAGAGUUCUUGCGAGAACAGUUGACGGUACUAUAUGAAUAAGCACCGGCUAACUCCGUGCCAGCAGCCGCGGUAAUACGGAGGGUGCAAGCGUUGUCCGGAUUUAUUGGGUUUAAAGGGUGCGUAGGCGGUUUAUUAAGUCAGUGGUGAAAGACGGUCGCUCAACGAUUGCAGUGCCAUUGAUACUGGUAGACUUGAGUGAGAUUGAGGUAGCUGGAAUGGAUAGUGUAGCGGUGAAAUGCAUAGAUAUUAUCCAGAACACCAAUUGCGUAGGCAAGUUACUAAGUCUCAACUGACGCUGAGGCACGAAAGUGUGGGUAUCAAACAGGAUUAGAUACCCUGGUAGUCCACACUGUAAACGAUGAUAACUAACUGUUGGCUUUCGGGUCNGUGUACAGAGAAUCGUUAAGUUAUCCNCCGUGGAGGUACGCCGGCGACGGUACGAACGUACGAAGAAGUUAGUACGGACGUAGAGACGUUGCCGACGGACGACGACGAGGGAGGAGGG